GGAUGUGAGGGUGAUCUGGCUGUGACAUCUGUCACCCCGUUGAUUGCCAGAGUUGAUUUGGCUGAUCUGGCUGGCUAGGCAGGUGUCCCCUUCCUCCCUUACCACUCCAUGUGCGUCCCUCCCGAAGUUGCACACUCGGUGGAAGGGGACGGUCUCCCCGAAUAGAGACAGACUGGUCUUCGGUGGAGGGUAUAUGAGCAGCUGUGCUCCCCUGCUAGAACCUCCACACAAGCUCUCAGGAAGACACAGAGUUAGUCCAACAACAGCAACAACAAAAAUAACCCAUAAUUUUUUAAAGUGGACAAUAGAUG
ensembl:misc_RNA 7SK 7SK RNA